UUCCUGCAGGUCAGCGGGACGAGGCCGUGGCAGCGCUUAUGGACCAGCAGUUUGCAGUUGAUGCACCUGUAGCCUUGCCUCGCGAGGCCCCAUAUCCUCUCGCUGCACUGACCGCAGUACGCUCUCUGUAGACGGGAACAGAGCAUCAGGCCCAGGCCACGUUGAGGGGCCAGCGGAGAGAGGGCAGGCAGAGCCUUCCACACCUGUACCUUCUCAAAAGAGGACACUGAGCCAGGCAACAGGUGGCCCCGGCACCUUGUCCCUUCCGGGCGCCAGGCUUGCCCAAGCUCGGCAGCUUCCUCUUGGGUCCACCCCAAGGUUGGGGGAACCAACAGCCCCAAGGAGAGGCCUGGAACCCUGUUCUGCAUGAGAGAACACAGGGGAGGCCCCAUCGGGCAGGGGAGACGAGGCGCUGCUUCAGGCAAGGCCCCCUGGUUUGCAGGGGCUGGGGGGCUGCAGCUCCUGCUGGGCUCUGCGUAGGGCAGCCUGGGGUCCUGUCUAGGGCUGAGCAGAGUGUAGGGCACCCCCUGCCUGAUCUUCAUUCAAACAGAACCUCCUCCCGACAGCCUCAGAGAAGGUGAACUCGGACCACAAACAUCUCGAACUACUACACCACAGCCUGCAAUUAUCUUAGUAUUCUUUGCUCAGUAUUUUUCAAGAUUUUAAAUGAUCCUUCUUUAUUCUUCAUGGUUCUGAACAAUUCGAAAAUGAUGAGUGUCACCUCACACCCAGUGAAGAGGAAAUACAGUGUACUGUGAACGGCAUGAACUGAAUUCACGUGAGGAAACGGGACCCUCAGCACGUGUGGGCACCAGGUGCAUCUGAGCAAACGGGGCUCACACCCCCUACAAGACUCUCCUGCUCAUCAGAAAGAGCCUGCUUGGGGCGCCAGGGCCCGGGGACUCUUCCCCCGCCCACAGCCCGCUUGUUUGGGUGGGGACAGAUAACCAGCACCUAGGACAGUGCCCAGCACACAGCGGGCAUCAGCCUGCAGCCGGCCUAUCGUAAGACUUCGCCUUGUGAGCCCGAGGCCAAUUGGGAAUCAACUCCCUUUCAUGUACAUGCAUCCUAUUGGUUCCAUCCCUCUGGAGAACCCUGACUCAUGAAGACACCUUCGUUUUGGACUUCCAGCCCCAGACUGCGGGAGAGUGAGCUUCUGUGGUUUAAGCCACAGGAAGUCCUCUGGGAUCUCCAGGCAACGUCCAGGUCUUCCUAGCACCGGCCUACUGAUCUCCUGGAGCCUAGUUCCCUCCACACCCCUCUCUUCAGUCACUCAGGAGCUUGUCCUGCAUCCCCACCUGUGUCAGCCCCACGAGGAAUGGGAGUCCAGACCCAUUCUUGCCACAUGACGGACUGAGCACACGCGGGGGCGGGAGGAGUGGCUGACAUGCACAGAACUUCUUGAUGGUCUAGAGAGCAGACCACAGGAGUAGAAGGAGGGGCAGGUGACCUGAGGUCGCUCCAGGAGAUGGAGGAGCCGGACAUCCAGCAGAGGUUGACACGUGAGGCCACGUGGCAGGUGGGUGUGGAACGCAAAGGUAGCUCCAGGGCCACUGCUCCUGAUGACGAGGCAGCCUCCACGCAGCUCUCUCACAGUGACACACGUCCAUGAACCCCCUGCCACCGUGCAGUCAUCGUACUGGCUUUACAGGGAGGGAACCGAGGUACAGAAAGGGUGGUACAGAGGCAGAGAGAGCAGAGGGGCUGGGACUGAACCAGCACGGAGUGGCCUUGGGUGUCCCAUCAUGCUGGAGAUGGCUGCUGGAGGCCACCUGUCAUGGGGACAGACUGCAAGAAGCACGGGGCUGGCCAGGCAAUAGCAUGUGACAGGCCGUCAGGGGCUCUGUGUGGAGGCCCGCAGAGGGAACAGGCCCUCUAUGCUUCUACCCACCCCCAAGACACUCCCUGUGUGGGACAAACUCCAGGGCCACCAAGGCACCCCAGACACCUCCCCUUCCACUGUGAAAUACAACAAUUACAAAAGCAUCUGAAUCACCCAUUUUGUAAGAAUUAGAAAAGCACCACAAAGAGAAACAAGGGAAGUAAGCUAAGUGUCCUCUGGAAAGGGCCCCCCCCAUGGGUGGACGUUGGAAAGACAGAGACCCAAGUAGGGAUGGGGCUGAAGGAGCUUCCGGGGUUCACGGAGACUCUUGCAGCCAAUAGGAACACUGUGUGCAGCUAAAAACACACACCCUGGCACUACAUGCGGAAUGCGGCCGCUCCACUCUGGAUGCAGGCAGGCUGGGGCCUCAGGCCAGCGAACCCUGAGCCUUGAUAAAAGUCACGCAGCCAGGCAGACACAGACAGCAUUCACUGGGCAGCCACCACACGGGGAAAGGCCCGGAGGGCACUUCCCGCCUCAGACAGCCCUAGUCAAAGCCUCAUCCCCGCACCAGUGAAAGCAUUUCUGUGACCCUGCCCUCGGGCGCCAAAAAGAGCCGAGCCUGGGCUCCGCAGGACGUGCCUUCCCUCCUCUCUCUUUGCUUUUAAAAGUAACAAAGGGCCCCUUGAGGGACUAGUCCCGAGGGGGCCACUCACCCUGUUAAAGCGCUUGGCUUGGAAGAGAUGGCCGUUGGCACGGUACAGCUUCCUCCAUCUUCUGGCUCCCCGGCGGUAGAUGGAUUCUGGAAAGGACAGGAGAAAGGCGUAAAGAAACAGAGUGGCAGCCACGAGUCCACGCAGGGUGCAGCUGCGACAGGCCACUCCCGUCCAGGUGGUGGUGGCUGCAGCGUCCUCCCAG